rnacentral:rRNA from 1 species
UACGUAGGUGGCAAGCGUUGUCCGGAUUUACUGGGCGUAAAGAGCGCGCAGGCGGUCGUUUCAAAGUCGCGUGUGAAAAGCCCCCGGCUCAACUGGGGAGGGUCACGCGAUACUGAUCGACUCGAAGGCAGGAGAGGGUAGUGGAAUUCCCGGUGUAGUGGUGAAAUGCGUAGAUAUCGGGAGACACCAGUGGCGAAGGCGAGCUACCUGCCUGUUCUUGACGCUGGAGGCGCGAAAGCUAGGGGAGCAACGGG